UGCUCAAAAAAGGUUUCAACUGCUUAACCAAGUACAGCUCAUUCUUCCACCUUCUUACUCUGCAACCAAACAAAGUGCCCCAUACUACAGCAUAUAAAAUGACCAAGUCUUGAAAGAGAAAAGGAGCAAAGUAGCAAAUACAUCAACAAUUCACUAUCAGAAACACAGAAAAUCCCAGAGAGAGAAGGCAGUAUCUCUAAAUCAUGGAUGGACUUGGAAAGUUCGGAAGGAUUCGAGUGCUUCCUUUCAGAAAGACAAUUCUGGAUCAACUCCCUAGAGCAGGAAGCCUGUGGUUUGUAAUUGGUGUUCUAGCUCUGACUCCCUCCCCUGGGACAGCAAUCACGCUCUCUACCUGCUGACAAAGUGAGGGUGGAGCUGCUAGAGGCAACCACCCCCCACCCUGCCCCCCUCCUCCUGGUGCGCACACACAACACUUACUUAACCAGACACGUUCUUUUGCUCUCUCCCCUCCCUCAGCUCCUCUACUCCCUCUAUUGAGCCACAGCUAAACUGCAUCCAAUUUGAUCCCCAGUACCUCUCUCUGGUACGCAAGCUACCACAUGCAAAUCAGGGCCACUCAAACAUAUCUAAGCAGACUCUGCACCCAACAGAGCAUAGAUGAUGGUAUGAGGAAAUAAACAGAAAAAAAUAAAGGUAAUCCAGAAAAGAAUGGACACAAGGUUUUGCAAAUAUAAA